rfam:Vitis vinifera, whole genome shotgun sequence of line PN40024, unoriented chromosome 8, chr8
AGAAAUGUAGCUCAGUUGGUUAGAGCUUUGAAAUUUAAGCUUGAGGGGAGGGGUUCGAAUCCCCCCAUCUUCC